UACGUAGGGCGCGAGCGUUGUCCGGAAUUAUUGGGCGUAAAGAGCUCGUAGGCGGCCUGUUGCGUCCGCUGUGAAAUCCCAGGGCUCAACCCUGGGCGUGCAGUGGAUACGGGCAGGCUGGAGGCAGGCAGGGGAGAACGGAAUUCCCGGUGUAGCGGUGAAAUGCGUAGAUAUCAGGAGGAACACCGGCGGCGAAGGCGGCCCUCUGGAUCGUUGCUGACGC
rnacentral:rRNA from 1 species